UACGGAGGGUGCAAGCGUUAUCCGGAUUCACUGGGUUUAAAGGGUGCGUAGGUGGGUUGGUAAGUCAGUGGUGAAAUCUCCAGGCUUAACUUGGAAACUGCCAUUGAUACUAUCAAUCUUGAAUACCGUGGAGGUCAGCGGAAUAUGUCAUGUAGCGGUGAAUGCUUAGAUAUGACAUAGAACACCAAUUGCGAAGGCAGCUGGCUACACGAAUAUUGACACUGAUGCACGAAAGCGUGGGGAUCAAACAGGAU
rnacentral:rRNA from 1 species